UUUAUGGAGAGUUUGAUCCUGGCUCAGGAUGAACGCUGGCGGCGUGCCUAAUACAUGCAAGUCGAGCGAACGGACGAGAAGCUUGCUUCUCUGAUGUUAGCGGCGGACGGGUGAGUAACACGUGGAUAACCUACCUAUAAGACUGGGAUAACUUCGGGAAACCGGAGCUAAUACCGGAUAAUAUUAUGAACCGCAUGGUUCAAAAGUGAAAGACGGUCUUGCUGUCACUUAUAGAUGGAUCCGCGCUGCAUUAGCUAGUUGGUAAGGUA
rnacentral:rRNA from 1 species